rnacentral:rRNA from 1 species
GACGAACGCUGGCGGCGUGCUUAACACAUGCAAGUCGAACGGAGUGGCGAACGGGUGAGUAACACGUGGGUGACCUGCCCUGCACUUCGGGAUAAGCCUGGGCAACUGGGUCUACUACCGGAUAGUGGGGGAUGGGCCCGCGGCCUAUCCGCUUGUUGUUGGGGUAAUGGCGUACCACGGCGGCGACGGGUAGCCGGCCUGAGAGGGUGGACGGCCACAUUGGGACUGGGACAGGGACCAGAGUCGUACGGGAGGCAGCAGUGGGGAAUAUUGCACAAUGGGCGGAAGCCUGAUGCGGCGACGCCGCGUGGGGGAUGACGGCCUUCGGGUUGUAAACUCCUUUCACCAUCGACGCGGUAGAUGGAGAAGAAGCACCGGCUAACUACGUGCCAGCAGCCGCGGUAAUUC